AUGGAAUGGCCGGUUCUUCAGGAGACCAAAAUCUGGUUGCGUGGGGUGUCCACGCUCCCUUCGCGACCAUAUCCACAUAAGGGGAUCAUUGUUAAACCUGUUGGUGUGAGGGCCUUGGUGGUUAUUCCAGAAGGCACAAUCCCGCCACGACAGCCAAGCACCAUUAUUGGAUGUCUUUGUAGGCAUUAUUACCCCGGCCUACUUCCCAUAGGAGACGGUGAGGAGGAGCCAGCUUGGUCUUGGGAGCACUGGAAACGCGCUCCAGAUACGAAAGACAAUUGGGACAGGGAGUACCGCAGUGCUGCUGAGCGGGACUUCUUUACUUGCGUUGAGGGUAUGGAGGAUGAAGCUAAUGAGGUCGUGGAGGAGAUUGCCAAGAAGAUUGUCCAAGACAUGCCUUACGAGGCUCGCGUCAAUGCCGUGGUCAAGUAUUUCGCGCAUGAACGCAAGAUGCUUCUUAAAAAGCCGUGUACUGUAAGCCGUGAAAAACACUCGGCUUAUAUAUAA
rnacentral:rRNA from 1 species